UCGGCACAGAGCCCAAUGCCCGGCUUGAACUCACAAGCUGCAAGAUCCUGACCUGAGCCGAAGUCGGAUGGUUAACCGACUGAGCCAUCCAGGCGCCCCUAAAUAGUAAUUUCUUAAUCUUUUUAUAAUUAUACCCAUGUAUUAUCAAACCACUGCCUUUACAAAUCUUGUGUAACUCUCCUUGGCAGUUCUGAUUCCCUGCCCCCCCCUACCCCCCAGUGAAGAGUUGGUAUUCUGGAUGAACCCAAAAAUUCUUUGGUCACUUUCCUUCUCCAUUUUUGUCUCUUCAGGAGUAAGUGGAGUUGUCAGGUUGGCAGAUAAACCUGUUCAAGUGUGUGAAUGGCUGGUUUUAAAGUACUAAAAUUGUACUUUUUAUUACCAUAAUGUCUAUAAAAAGAAUUGGGUGGUGGAAGUUGGUACUAUCAGAGACAGCACCUGUGAACAAAGUCACGUGUAUGUGUGUAUAGGGUGUUUGUGUAAAUAUCUGUACUUUAAUACAUUUGUUUCCCUCCAGCCUAAGCUCCUACCUGAUGGACUGGUUUUGCUGCCCCUCCUCCCCCGCUCUGUCCCUUCUCUGCCUGCCAGGGGCCUCUGCCCUGCUCCCUGCAUUCCAGGUUUGCUGAACUGCUGUGCUCCCCCUGACUGCCAUGCUGUUUCGUCCAUCUUCCCAUCUCGUAAUUUAUCGUCUGUCUGAUGCCCUUUCGGACGCUCCCUCGUUCCUCCGUCUGCACUGUGUCUUUGGAGACCUGCCUCAGAUGUCGUGUCUUGGUAGCCUUUCCUGACAGUGGAGAAGACGCGGAUCCCUGUUGCGUGGGCGUGCUGAGCUCCAGAACUUGGCACUUGCACAACCGGUUGCUGAUAGCAGUACUGUGCUGAUUUCACGUUGGGUCUCUUUACCUCUUCUAAAGUACAGGGUGGACUUUGUCAUUUGUACUUCCAGCUUCUCUUAAUACAGGGCUCGGAGCUGACAGACACAACAAAUACUUGCUGCCUGACCAGCUUAAUGAAUGAAUAAACGAAUGUACUGUUUUCUGUAGUUUCUGUCUUGUUCAGUACAGGACAGAGCAGCAAGGCCGGCUCCUAGAGAGAACCAAGAGGGUGUUGAUGUUGUCGAGACAGUGCUCCGGGACUGUAGACACAAAGCGAAGUUGUGACUUGGUGGGUGGUGUGCGGGCGAGAGGAAGAGAGGAGUCACAUAAUGAAGAGCCUGUUGGAGUCACCCUGGUUACCUUGUGCUUGAAACGUGCUCAGAACGUGCCAGAAACGUGUGGGCAGGUCAUGCUUGACAACGACAACUGGGGAGACUCCUCAUCUGUUAGGUGCUGUUCGGGACGCCUGCAUCUUAACACGUGUGUGAGGUUCAUGGCCAGAACACAGCACGGUGCAAAGUGUCACUCGUCUUCCUACUUGUUCACCGUAAACGGUGGCCGAACAUGCCACCCCAAGACGGCCACCCCACUUUGGCAUAAGAUGAUUUGAGCAAAAGGCACUUGAAAAACAGCAGGUACAAGAAGAACGUCCGUAUCUCCCCCUUUCUUCCUGAGAGCAGGACACAGACCAGGGUGAAGUUGCUGUCCCUGCACCAGGGGGAAGGAAGUGGUCUUGCCAAGGGGACGGGAGCCCAGGACGGGAGAAUUCUUGUUGAAAUAACUCCUACCCAGGUAUUUUGGAUACUUUCCCACUGUCCCUUUCUGUUCACACUAGCAUGAAACCUCUCGUUUUUGCCAGUCCUGGGUCUUCGUUCUCCUUAUGAGGGCUCCCUCCCAUGUGAUGAAAAACUUACGUAAAAUAAACUUGUGUGUCUUUCUCCUGCUAAGUCUCAGGCCCAGGCCAGAGACCCCAAGAGGGUUGAGAGAAUGGCAUUCCUCCCUCCACCAGACGGAGUGCCUCCGGAGCAGGACCCUGUCUGUCUUGCUUCCCUCCCACUGACUCCUCAGUCCCAGAGCCCCUCGGGCAGGAAGUGAGGACUGUCUGCCGAGUAAAUGAUCUGUGUCCACAGCACCCACCCAUCUCCUUCCCACCUCAGCCCAUUCGCACUCAGACCAGCAUCAACAUAAGGGAGGACAGUGGUUUGCUUACAUGCAUCCUUUAGGAAGACACGUGCCCUUACAGGGCUUGAGCGGCUGACAAAACAAGGACUUCUCUGUGUAUACACUGGCACAUACUAAUGCUCCACGUUCCCAGUGGAGCUCCAGGAGCUAAAAAUAACCACGCGUGUUGUUUUAUACAGAAAAGAGGAAAUGUGCAGCUUAGUUUGUAACAUUUACUAUUUUUGAAAACCUGAUUUUGUUCCACAUGUAUUUUUAAAAUGUCUUUGGAGAUGUCCUUGCAGGAAAAUGCACAAUGCAGAUUUCACCAAAGGUCCCUCCAUUCUGUAAUCCACAUCUUCAGGAAACAAUUGCUGGAGACCAGAUACACUUGACCACGAGAUGGGUUUUCGGGAAGCCGCCCAGAUGCAGAUCACCAGGGGUCAUAGGAGGGCCAAAGGGCCCCGGGACCUCGGAAGCCAGGUCUCUGCCUCGUCUGCCCCCUGUGCAAGUAGGGGCACACGAUCCCAUGACCACAGGCUGACAGUGGGAGCACGGGCCUCUGUUAUCCUGAGAGAUGAGCGAGAGGUGACCGUCAUGCAGUGUCGCUCUGACCGCCACUGAGCGCGGUCUUUCGUGAAAAGACGGGAGGGAGGUGUGUGUGCUAUAGGUCUUCAUCUCAUACUGCGUAUUUGCUCCUUAAGUGAGUGUGGGGAGGGUCUCGGUUUCUAAGGCUCCCCUGUAAGAGACGGCAGGCUAUGAUGGUCAUGAGCCGGUGGUGUUCAGUGUUGUUCGCUGCCCUUCCUUCUCACAGGGACGCUGGAAGGUUAAAAAAUAUGUAAAGAACAAAUGAAGUAAAAAGGAAGAGACACAAGUUGCCUACAGCACAGGAAGUUGGGAACGUGGGAGCCGUGUUUAUGAAGAAUGUUGGACAACAGUGGAAUCUGUCCACAGCAUGCUGUUCAUGGAGGUAAGUUUACAGACUAGUGUAGCAAACGUUUUCCCGGUCAAACAAGUACGCAGAGAUGUGAAGGUCGGGGAGGUUCGGGACAGCAGGCGGACUUGGUAUGAGAUUCGGCACGCACAGAGACAGGAGGAUGGAGGAGGGGGAGGGGCUAGGUCACCUUUAGGAAGCAGGGCGACGGGGGACCCUCCCAGGCUUACUUAUGGCUGGACCUUCCCUUGGGAAACCAGCCCCAGGAUCCGCUCAAACUCAGAGUCUGGUGGCGGUUGGACUCUCACAAGCCCCCCAAGCUGGGCACACUCCCACGGCCGAGCACGAAAGGAAGUGAGCCUUCCAAGGACGUGGCUCCCAUGUCUCCCAUGGCCUCUGGGCUGCAGCUGGGGCUCUCAGGGAGUGUUGCGUUCCCCAGGCUGGACCACACGCUCCCCACCCUCCAUGCUGCUCCUUCCGCAUACGGCCACCCUCUGGAAGGACAGCACUCUCCCCCAGACUCCCACCGUGACUCUCCUGUCCUGAGUGGACCCCAUCCCUCUGUGGAAGGGAGCAGCCUCAGUGCAGGCCCAGGCUCUGGGAGGAAGCUCCAGGCACAGCUGCCAACAGUGAACAUUCAGGAGCAGCCAGCAGCCAACGCAGGGCCAUGGUGACAGGUGCUGUGGACAGGUCUCUGUCACUGGGCGUGUCCACCCUGAUUAGCGUCUGCAUCUCCAGCCUGGCUUGUCUUGGGCCCUGCCUGCGCCAGCCUGUCAUUUGCCAGGAACUGGAGACGGGGAGCUUCUGUAAUGAGAAGAUAGUUGUCAAGCUCUGUUUCUCUCCAACACCCGAAGCUCCCGACAAGGAUUAUAAUCGAAGCCUGAUUUGCAAGGACAUGAACCCAUUCUCUGGUGGCUGUGAGAUGCUGCUUCUCGGGGUCUCUGGGUCCAGCGUGUGGGGGGUGGGGGGCUCAGAGGAGGAUUCAGGUGCAAGAGAAGCAGCCCCAAAUGAUCUGGGCUCCCACAGCAGGGCCGGUGCCUGUGGGCCUGGGGUCAGGCUAUAGGAGUUCAGAACCCAGCAGUUAGUUACUCUCUCCAUGCCUCAGUUUCCCCAACUCUGCAAUGGGUGUAAUAACAAUACUUACUACUUCAUAGACCUUUUAAGAAGCAACUACAAUAUGUAGAAACUCCCAGAGCAGAGGCUGGCACAGAGGGAACUCACUCUGAAGUGUUAGCUGACUGUAAGAGCAGCCUAAUGUCAGUUCUAAUAACAGAGUAGGCACCAGGCAUGUGUGGGGCCCUUGCUUGGCCUCUGGCCACUCAGUGCAGAGCAGGUGAAGGGCUCUGGGCUGGAGUUUUGUCACUGCCCGUAAGAAACACAGCUACCCGUUGGUUGCUUCCUAAAGGAUAGACAGUGAGAGGGGUCCAGGGUUACCCCACUCACCCCAACCAUUUGGCACAACCUGCUCUGGUGCCCCAGGUGCCCCUGUAAUUGAUCUAAUUAGCCUGGACCAUGAGAGGCCAGGGAGCUGGGCUGUGACCUGCGUUUCGCAGCCAAGGGUGGACUGAUGGAUGUGUCUAGCAGGCCCAGCCCCUCAGCAGCUCUCCUUAGUGGUAUUUUCUGACCCAUCUGGGAGCAAUGACUGGCUGGAGCCCUGGGCCUCACAACAAGGUUGUUUCCCCUUCCUUGGACUCACAGGGCAAGCGGCGGGGUUGGGAUGUGUCCCUUGAUGGUGGCCCAACUUGAGGGGUCCCUGGGCUCCCAGGAGACAGCCAGCCUGGGGGAAUCUCCUCCUGACAGGAGUCUCACUGGACGGACACCUGCACUUCUAGUGGUGGAAUGAGGAUGAGGGAUGUGCACUUUCUGGCCAGAUCGAGGCCCAGGCUCACUGGCCAGUGGUCUUCUGCCACCCUCUGCAGUUCUCCCAGGCAGACCCCAGCACAGAGAUGCAGGUAAGGCUGGAACUAGAGGGAAAGUUGUAGCCUCAGUGCAUAUGUGAGAAUAUAGGGAAACCUAAUCACUGAUAGGUUCAGCAUUUGUCGUGCAUUAGGAAAGGAGAAGUAAAACUACAGGUGACCCUUGAGUAACAUGGGUUUGAACUGCAUGGGUCACUUAUACAAGGGUUUUUUUCCUUCAAUAAAUACAGUGCAGUACUUUAAAUGCACUUCUUCUUCCUUAUGAUUUCUUAGUAACAUUUCUUCUUUAGCUUACUGUACUGUAAUAAUACAGUAUGUAAUACGUGUAACAUACAAAAUAUGUGGUAAUCAACUGUUUUAUGUUAUCAGUAAAGCUUCUGGUCAAUUGUAAGGUAUGAGUAGUUAAGUUUCUGAGGUGUCAGAAAUUACACAUGGAUUUCCAACUGUGUGGGGAAUUGGUGCCCCUACCCCCGUGUCGUUCCAGGUCAGCUGUGUUCUAUAAUACCUAUACGUAGUGAACCCAGUGCCUGAAAUGGAAAGACUGACAGUACUAAGUAUCAGCACGGGUGUGUAGCUGCCGAGAUUCUGCGGGUCUGCAAGUGGAUGCUUCAGGUCACAGGGCAAUGAGUCAAGAAGCAGAGCUAGGCUGAGUCAAGGCCACAGCCCAGGAACUGUGGGGUUUUGCCCAGGACCUGGGGAUGUGUGCCUGCAUGUCCCCCGCCCGGGAGACCUGCCCCCAAGGCUACCCUCUGUGGCAGGUGUUCUGCGUCCCACCUGAGAGAGGAGGAUGACUGCUGGGAAUGGCAGAGCCAGACGUCAGCCUGAAGCUAACCUGCAGGAGCCCUUCUGGGACAUGGAAGGCAGGGCCCGAGCAAGGGGGGAAGGAAGGGAGAGCACCCUGGAUCUUCCUGCCUGAGUGACCGUGGAGGAGGCCCCGAGUGGGUGGACUGGCCCGUGAGGCUGUCCUGGGGGGGAGAGGGUGCCAGGGAGGGAGGGAGCAGUCGCGUGGACACCCGGACCUGCCGAGGAGCUGGGGAAAAGAUGCGUGGGGUGGACAUGACCCCUGCAUGAGACAGGCUGCUCCUUCCCCGGGCCUGGGACUCAGUCCUGCUUCUAAAAGAGAGAAGGUGCUGGGCCCAGGGUGAAGCUCCCAGAGCCGGAUUCCUGGCCGGGGAGGUGGGGUUUGCCUCCAAAAGGAAAACCGCGUGGCCCUGGGAGCAGAUGCUCCAUGUGAGCCCCCGGGUCGCCCUCUGACUCCCCACCGCACCCCCUCCCCCGGGCACACAGAUGUGGGGGCCAGUGUCUCUACACUCAUGGAUAAGGGGCCUAAUGGGGUCUGGAGCGGAAACCCUUCUGCCAUCAACUCCGUCACAGGGAGACACAUAUGCACAAACACAGCGUCAUGUACACACACACACACACACACACACACACACCCAUGCAUAUACAGAAACACACGCCUCUCUUCAGCUUGGGGCCCACAGUCCCCUACUCUGACCUUUACAGUGGAAGGAAACAGAAAAACCACCAAAGUCUGGCAUCCAUGGCAUUUAGCUGAUUGUGAAAACUGCACACUCACCCCCGGAAGAGAGUUUCUCAUGUUUAUCCUUCGGAUAACAGUGGAUUGAAAUCAAUCCAAUCCCACACGGAAUUCAUUCUGGAGAAUUUCACAUCUCCCCAGACGUGGGGCCCUGCCCAGGGUGGACGUUUGGCCUGGGAGCCCUUUUGUCCUUCUCCAAGGAUGUUUUUGGAUCUGACUGCCCUUUUCUCCUGUGGGGUUUUCCCUCCUGAAAGAAGAGAGGAAUCGCUGGGUGUGGGACAAGAAAUAGGACCCUUGCUUCCCAACAUACACAGAACCAGCUACACCUGGACCCAUGGCAUAAAUUCAGGGGUGCUCUCAAAAACUUUGCCUGGAAUGUGUCAGUGAGUUAUUCGCGACGUUGGAGUAAGCAUUUCUUAAAUACACUGUGAAGAGCUCUAACUAUAAAAGAAGAGACUAAUACUUCGGAAUACAUUAAAAACCCAGUCAAUGAAAAUCACCUUAAAGAAAGUGAGGGGGAAGUUCAAGAUGAGACGCUCACACCAGAAGGAGCGGACACAAAGUGAUAGCCGCACUUGCGUCAGCCCCGGGGAGCCACGGUUUACCCUUCUCCUCUCAGCAAUCAGGGCGUUGGGCAGAGAGGGUGUUGCAAGUCCCUGGGUGCAGAGGGACCCUGGGAUCCGCCUCCUCACGGCUCCCCCCCCCCCCAUGUCCUCGACUGCCCUUCCCGGGACCCAAGCCAGCUAGACACAAGCAGGUGGGUGAGUCAGGCUGUGGGUCUGCAUUGUGGGUGCCUGUGUUCCCAGCCUUGGGGGCGGGUGGGGGCAGGAGGAAGUGGCUCUGAGUCAGAGGUCCUAUGGGGCUCAUUUUCCAAGACACUGACCUCCCUGUGGCCCCAAAAGUAGGCCAGACAGAGAAAGGCGUGGGCUGUGGCUUCUGACUGUCCCGUGAGCAAGUAGACACAGACACAGACACACAGGACAGAGACCUAGAUACCCACAGACACACACACAGAGAUACAUGCAGACCCACACAGACAUACAGGCACAGACACACAGGACAGGGACCUAGAUACCCACAGACACACACAGAUACACCCAGACACAGGCCCUCAGGCAGAGACAGCAGCAGUCACUGCUCGCUCGUGGUCAAUGGCACCCUCUGCUGGGUGGGAUCCCCAGAACAAGGUGAGAACUGGUCCCUGUGGGCUCCGGGGCAGCAGGAGGGAGCGGUUCCUUGUGCAGCCCCAGAGCUCACGUGUCCAGCUGCUCCUCUCCUCGGGGACUCCUGCCCCCUCCCCAGGCCCUACUCAAACCUCUGCUCCAAAAAAGCCAUUCGGGGCUCCUGCUGAAAUUGUUGGUGGCCAGGUUUUCAUCAGCAAUGGAGAGGGGAGCCUCAAAGGGCUAGUCUACAAGAAGGUGACCUCAGGGGGACUUUGAGCAGCAGGACAGGGCCUUUGGGAGGCAGCAGAGCCUGCUGUAGGCCCGGACAUAGGGCCUGGGUCAGAACCCCCAGGGAUGUGGAGAUUCUGCAUCAGCCCGACGGAAAGUUCUCAAGGGGACAGAGGACUCCGAGGGAAUCACUGGAGAACAGACUCCGGACCCCUGCCGUCUGCUCCCACAGGUCGUGCAGCGCUGGUGGGGUCUGCCCCCGGUCCCAACAGACCCUCCAGGGUGCAAGUCCGCAGGGCUGGUGCUCGGCCACCCUCUGCCGAAACAGCAAAACAGAAGCGCCUCCUUGGUGGCGGGGGGCAGGGGUGGUGCACGAACUCUGCAGCCCGCCCUGUGUGCUGACAGGUCUUCUUCGUGUGUUUGGGGGAAAAUACGCAAUUGGCAGCAUUUGCCUCUUUCAUCUCCUAAGACAUCAAGUGCUGCCCAUCCCCCAAGGCUUUUGCAAGAAGAGUGAUUCCUCAGUCCAGGCUGAUGAGAGCCCAGUGGAGCCAGCAGCGCCCAGGGACUGGACCAGUCUCUCAUCAGGUCACCUCUCUGCCGCCCUGUGGCCCCGAGGGUCUGUUAACAGGGUGAUGGCUUUGGUGUGGCCCCGCUGGCCUUCUCCGUGGCAUCCUGCCUUACUUGCGUGAAGGGAGCGGCAGACAGGACCUGGGCACAUCGAAGGUCCGGACGCUUUCCCUGGUGUCCACAGCUCUGUGCCGGCAGGGCAGCGUCGCAGGGCUCACGAUGACGAGAAGCAGCUGAUGUGCUGACUUGCCGGGUCUCCAGUCUGAGGGCGGCUGCGGCCAGCAGGAAGCAGACCACCCUCCCUCACCCGGGACGAGCCCGGAGGCUAGGGCGCGAGCCUGAGCUGCGAGCCUCGGGCUGAGGGCACAUCCUGUGGACCAGGGAGCAGCUGUCUCAGCCCAGGGCAGCGGGGACAUAGCCCUGCCCCUCCUGCCCCGUCCUGCUACGCAUCCAGCACCAGGCGAGGGAGGGCCCCCGCUCAGACCCACAGCCCACCCCGCCUGGGCUUCAGAUGCUGAGAGCCACCAGCUUCCCUCAUCGGGGACGAGGUGCAGCCACCUGAGCCCCACCCCGGGACAGAGCCACCAGCUUCCCUCAUCGGGGACGAGGUGCAGCCACCUGUGCCCCACCCCGGGACAGAGCCACCAGCUUCCCUCAUCGGGGAUGAAGUACAGCCACCUGAACCCCACCCUGGGACAGAGUUACCAGCUUCCUUCAUCGGGACGAGGCAGAGACACCUGAAUCCUAUCCCAGGGCAGACCUACCAGCUUCCCUCAUCGGGGACGAGGCAGAGACACCUGAAUCCCAUCCUGGGAAAUGUGAGAACCAAGUAUGCGCCAAUCAGAAGGGCAGAGAGCAGCAGCCUGACAAUCGAUCGUGGGUCAGAUACAGUGUAAGCUCCAGGCAAGGGUGCAGGGCUUUGAGAUUUAAUGUGAGUUUCCCCCUCCUCUCCCACCAGGCGCUGCUCACCCCUUUGCCCUUCCUUCUUCACAAGCAGGUGGCCUGGGUGCCUCCGGAAACAAAUACAUAAGCAGAAAGCAAGGGCAGAGGAGUAGCUUCUUGGAAUUUGAUGUAAAAUUCAGGCCUUAAGUUGAAUAAAGUCAGCGAGAAGGAUUUGGGAGGAAACAUGCUAAGUGAGAGCCAGGCCCUUCUGCCUCUGUUCCUCGGGGUGCCGAACGCAGCCAGCUGAGAACUUUGCAUGGGCCUCUCCAGAGAGCUGCUCCAGGACCAGAGCUGGGAGACUGGUUACACUGCAGGAGAACCCAUUCAGGUAUGUUCAAAACUCGGGCUUGCUCUCUCCCCAGUGAAGGCCUUUGCUCUGUGGGCCGACAAGGAUGACUGGGGCUCCACCCGCCAGCUGGGAAGACCACCAACCCCCCUGGGGGCCACUUCGCUUCUAAUGGUCACCCACAGGGGCCUGUUGGGAGGCACCCGUUGCUUCCCACGCUGUCUGUCAGCAGUCUUGACCUUUCACAGGCUGUGGGACGGUGGACGUGUGAUCCUCUUGUGGGUGGGGCCAGGUCCCCCUGAGCAAGGGUGUCUGGUGACAGCUGGGUUCCCACUUGGAGUGCAGUGCUGGGCGGUCCGGGAUCUACUGAGGCCUUCUUAGGGCCUCAGGGGGAGUCGGCAGCCUAGGGUGGCAGCAGGGCUCUGGGAGACUUGGGGGCUUGACCACGAACCCUGCAUGAUCUUUGAGUCUGGUGUAGACAAAUACUCUGAAUGAACAAAUGGGGAAUUGAGGAACGCGUGAGCCAGCGCACGUCUUCUGGAAACCAAACUUGGAACAGGUGGUUUUCACUAUGCUUCCCAGGGUCCCUAACAGACCCCGUCCUCUGAUUCCCCAUCCGUCCCUGCUGUAGACCCAGAUCUGGCUCACCUGGCUCUGGGUAGGGGUGGGGAAGGCUUGAGAGGGAGGCUUCCAGGUGACCACCAGUCUUGCUGCACUGCGGGGUCUACUGGGGCCCUCUCGGCUGUCACCACUGGUGGGUGGCAGGUCAUUGGGGUGCAGGAGCUGGUGCUCACACCCGGCCUGCCCGUGGUGAGCUCAGGGGCCCUCAUGCAGAGGUCCCCCGGGUCAGAGGGUAGACACAAGGCUCUUCUAACGGCACUGGAAUAAGAGAGGAGGCUCCACUGCGUAACUCAGGCUCUUCCCUCAUUGUCGUGUGGCCGUGAGAGCGCCUUUGUCCGGGUUAGUCUUCGCCCCUGCAGAUGCCCCUCUUGACCCUGUUUCCCUAGCAUGUGUGGUUGAAGGAGACGACCACAUGGCCUCAGGAACCUGUGGGGGCAGCUCGGACAGGAAGCCCCUCGUGGCUCAGCCACUUGCCACUGGAGCCCGAGUCUUUGGGGCUCCAUCUCCGCUGGCCGUUCUCCCUCUCGGCGCCUCUGAGGGCCGGUGAUGUCGCUGCUCGCUGAGCAUUAGACUCCAGACAAGCAGUGGUUUUCAUGAAGUCCUAGCGGGUUGGUAUCAGCAGUGCCACCUGAACGGAGUGGUGCAGCUGGGGACCCCGCGGUGGGGGAGCGGUGGAGCUGGGACCCCCAGCCUCUGGUCUUGACCACUCGACAGGCUUCUGCAGCCUCCCAGGAGCAUGUGGCCUUGCUCUGGGCUGGAUCCCGCUCUGUCUGAAUGGAGCCACGUGUCUGACCAUGCGGGCACCGUGAUUCCCACGAGUCUCCGGGGCCCGGCAUGGCAUUUGCACACGAGAGAGCCACUUACUGAGCCACUGUGGGGUGACUGCCCGAGUGCAAGUACACAUGUAGGGGAAGCAAGGAACAGAGACACUUCCCCCCACAACCAAACCCAAUGGAGUAUAGGAGUGGAAAUGAACAUCUCCCCCACUUUCUGAUUCAUGCCGUCAGCAGAAACACGGCUGUUCAAGCACCACGCUGGAAGCAGCUGCCAUAUGCUCACCCGGCCAUCCGGCGCCGUUCAGCGGUGCUCCCUGUCAGAAGAAAUGGUGACAGGUGCUGGUGGACCGGGCAUCUCUCUGUGGGGAGGAGAUGCCACCGAAAGCCAAGUCUGAUUUGCUCUGCGAUACAGAACUUCUGCAUAAGCGUAAAAAGUGCCUAGCUCAGCUCUUUAAAAAACCGGCUUCUUGGCAAUCACAGCAGCCAGAAUUUGAAAUGGGCUACAUGAGGCAGGGCGCCUUCGAGGGGUUCAGCUGGACUAGUCUCCCUCGUGGAGCAGAGGGGGUGCGUGCUGCCCUCCCCUCAGUCUCACCCACACGGCCCAUUCGCCCCAGGGCAGCGUCCAGACACAGGCCUGGAUGACGAGGGGCAGAGAAUGCUGGUGGCAAAAGAAGGUAAUGAGCUCCUGCGGGCAAGGAGGCAGGUGCCUAAGCAGUGCCAGGACACCCAGGUGGCCCGGACUGCCAACCCCACCCUCACCUGUGGCGGGUUCUAUUCGGGCCUGUGAGCCGGGCCCGGGCUGUGCCCAGUGCACAGGCGGGCAGAUCCAGAAGCGUGGGAUGGAGCAUGUGGGCCUGAAUGUGAUGUGAAUGUGGCCCGUUUCUGCAUGUGGGCGUGUGUGAGUGUGUGUGAGUGUGCACACGUGUGAAUGUGCUGAAGGCAACCAUAGCAUUGGUCUGGGGUUUUAUUCUAGGCUGACCGUAUGCCCUCACUUCCUUGGUUCCUCAUCUGUCCCGGACAUCAUGGGGAGAAGGCAAAGGAUGGGUGGGGCGGUGCCUGGCCGUGUGCCAAGCCACCCAGAGAUCAUGCCCAGGGCAGAUGUCACCCCGGCAAAAGGAGCAGCCUCCACAAGGCCUCGUCUACGCCGGGCCCCAGGGGCUGUAAUCGCAGCCCUGUGCUUCCUGUCAUGCUUCAGCUUCCCUGUGGUCUCUCUGGAUAGCACAGCCACACCCACACCCACAUCCACCCCCCUCUGGCUGCAGCCUCCAGCCCCGUGGUUCAUGCUUCUCUGAGCCCAGCCUGACUCUGGUUCCCUCUUAGGACUGCUUCUCCUUUGCGAGCAUUUUCUCCUUUUCUCUUCCUGACACGCUUUGCUGCAUCGUCAUGCAGAAUUAAGUCCAAGACGAUUUCAGGCAGGUACUCCCAACCCUGAGACAGGUUUUAAAAUAGCGACGGGAUUAACAUCCCACUUCCCAGCUGAGUGCUGUGAAGACUCUGCGAAUGCGUUUUCCGUUUGCAAACUUGCUAACGUAAAUCCCACAGGGAAAAGGAAAUUGCUGAUCUAUUUUGGAGUGCAAGUAUUUCCUCUGAUGGGUUUGCUUCCUUUAGAAGGGUCCAAAUAAAGCUCUGCACAGAUCCCUGCUUGUUUCUGCCCUUUUGCGAAAAUUGAACGUAUGAAUCUCCUCCGUGGCCUUUAUUGAUCAAGGCCAAAUCACAAAGAUCAGUUACCACUGUGGAAAGCGAGACAGAGUCAUGAAGCAUGGGAGAAGGAGACCACGCCGUGGUCAGCAAUGCGUCUGAUUGGGAGACUGUCUGGUCAGGGGGAAGUUGGGCUCUUCAGGGUUCCCAUGGAUCCCUUUCGCCUGCUCACUUCCUGCCAGGUCCUGCUUUGCCCCAACAGCAAAGGCAGGCAACGUGCCGCUCACUGUGUUCACGGAAGCCGGUGUUUGUCUCUUCAGCUGUGAUGCCCUUUCUUGCCCAGGCUUCCUGAAUCCCCUCAUCUCAUCUCCGUGGACAUCUUUGUCCUCACACAUCUUUGGUUCCCGUGUGGUUAGUCCCAGAUGGGUAGGAAACAAGGUGGAAAAGGACACAGGACCUGAGACUUCCCCGCAGUCUCUUGGUAUGGAGCUGUCAGGGGAUCCUGUGGCUUUUAGGUGGGAGAGCCGCUAUGGACACACACACGGGGCACGGUCCAUGAGAGCCCCUGGGGUGGCCCCAGGGCAUGUGUAGUUUUUGGAGAUUUGCCUGUGCAAAUGCUCAGCCAAGGGGCAGAUUGCAAGGCCUGCUGGGCAGCUGCUUGGAGUGUGGAAGCUGAGGGAAUGAGACAAAGAGUGUGGCACAGGUGGGAUUGGGCCACGAGCCCCAUGGCACCAGAGAAGGGACAGUCGCGUGUGAACCGUUGGGCUGACAUCCCUGCAUCGAGGGUGCCAGCAAGGCCUCUCCACGUGGGCCUCAGACUCCGCCUGUCCUGCUCGCCCGAUCUUCGCGUCUUCCCGCUUCGUCCUUGUUGACUCUAGUCCCAGCAGGACAGACUCUCCAGGAAGACCCGCCUGAAACCGGUCUCUCAUCUUCUUGGGAGAAGGGACUCCUCCCACUCACCUUGUGAGCAUGUGCGUUCACCGUGUGCUCCAUCCAUCCUGAGAAAGUGUAGCAUGGAUCCUCUCCACAGGAGGAUAUUUACCAGUCCUUUAUCAGAAGGGAGGACAAGGCCUCAGGUGGUCAUGAGCUCCGACAGAGGUGGGGUGGGCUCCAGCCCGGCCUCCGCCUCCAUCGGCCGCAAACCUGCCAUGCGCCUUUGUGAAGGUGUCUUCUUCACUGAUUAAGGAGGCGCCUCAGCUCCCCUUGGCCCUGGCCUCAUCCUUCGAGCCCGUUCUCAGGGUGCAUGGAUGGGAGAGGUUCCGUUCUACCGGGAGAGCCCCAGGGUCCAGCCACCCCAUCUGGCGCAGUUCAGGGAGCAUCCCGUCCAGCCUCAGAUUCUCCCUUUUCUUCUCUUAGCAUUCUUUCUGACGACACUUUAGAUUACUUCUGUAAUUCUUCUAGAUUUUAAGCCCCUUGGGGCAGGGACCCAGUCUCUAUCACUUGGAUACAAACUCUAAUAUCUUCCUCAUGUUAAGUGAUUACUGGGCUUAGCUGUGUGCGUCCUGGAGGGCCUGACGCUUCUGGCUCAUCCUCAUAUGACGACGUGAGUCAAACCCAAGGCUUGUCUCUCAGUGGGCCCUGCAAGUCCGGAGGGCCAACACCCAUCCCUGGACCCCACAUCAGAGGUAGGUCAGGCCUCAGUGAGUCACUUCAGCUCUCAGCACUCCAGACUCUUUGUCUGCUUGAAGUACAACAGCACCCGCUUGAUGAGGCUGGCAAGAAGGACAGAUUAUAUUACAGUCAUUGGUAGAAAGUUACAAAGCAAUUAGUUCAUUGUGAGUACUCAAGAAAUGGUAAUAAAUGUCACCAAUUUGUGUUCUUGAACGGA